CGGGGGAGGCCGGAUCCUGGGAUGUGUCCCCGGCACCCUGUGCUCCCGGUCUGCGCUGUUGGAUUCGCGCUCCCGCCCCGCAGCCCCCU
rnacentral:pre_miRNA from 1 species